UGGAGAAAGGGCUGUAGCCCUGGACCAGCUGGUGGAGGAGUAGACAGUGAGCAUCAGACCUUUUUGGGGAUGAACAGUCAAAGGGCAACAAAGUACAGGGAAGAAUCUAGAAGUGGAUGUCUGUUUCCCAGGGCAUCAGAAAAUCAGCACUCCUGGGCUUGGAGAAGCCAAGCUCCCAAUCAAGGUGGCCUCUGGCCCUGGAAGGAUCCCACUGAGCCAGUCUAAAGAGCAUCCUCCUUGCUGAAGGGCCUCCCAGAUGACAAUGGCUGCUUAACUGAUACCUCUCUUCAGAUAUGCCGUCAAGCU